CUACGGGGUGCUGCAGGCGAGAAAACUUUGCAAUGUGCGAAAGCACGACAAGGUUAAUCCGAGUGGUUUCUGCUAAAGGAACCUUUUGUCGGUCCUAGAAACACCGAUGAAUAAGGGGUGGGCAAGUUCUGGUGUCAGCCGCCGCGGUAAAACCAGCACCUCAAGUGGUCAGGAUGAUUAUUGAGCCUAAAGCAUCCGUAGCCGGCUCUGUAAGUUUUCGGUUAAAUCUGUACGCUUAACGUACAGGCUGCCGGGAAUACUGCAUAGCUAGGGAGUGGGAGAGGUAGACGGUACUCGGUAGGAAGGGGUAAAAUCCUUUGAUCUAUUGAUGACCACCUGUGGCGAAGGCGGUCUACCAGAACACGUCCGACGGUGAGGGAUGAAAGCUGGGGGAGCAAACCGGAUUAGAUACCCUUGUAGUC
rnacentral:rRNA from 1 species